ACACACGCACAAGCCACACGCUGGGAACCUGCCACGACGGCCGGGGAAAAAACCGGCCGGGUGAGGAGGCGCAAGGCGGCCCCCUGUCAUCUGAGGACAACAACACGCCCCGAAGAGAAGUGGCAGGAGGCAGGGGGAGUUGCCCCGAAAACAAGCCCGGAGCCUCCCCGCUUUCCCGGGAACGCAAGCUCCUCCAGGGCCGCCAACGGUCGGGCCGCAGGACUGGGCGCCGGGUCCCGGGUGGGGGCGCACCCAGCGAGGCGCCCCCCGCAGGCCGGGCGCCCCGGAGCCCGCGGCCCGCCCGGCCCCGCCGGGCCCCUGGCUCCGCAGCCGCCGUUGUCGCCAGACCCGACGAGCCGAGCGCCGAGCGGCCGCCCCCAUCCGGCGGCCCCGCCCCGCGGGAAGCAUUCAGCAGCCCCGCGCCAUGACACCUACUGAGGCGGAAGUGUCGAAGAGCGGGCGGAUUAGGACGACCACAUAGCACAGAUGUGAGUGGGAGUAGGGGGGCCUCCGUGGGGAGCCAGCGUGGAUCGAGUGCGGGGGCCGGACUUCCCGCCCCCUCCGCGCGACAGACUCCGCGGUGAUUUAAAGAGACGUUCUAGCAGAGUGGCAUCCGGGUACGGGAUCUGGAAGCCUCCACGUACAUGAAGAGCCACUUAGGAGACUCUCCCGCUGCCCGCCAUAGGAAAACUGUGUUUGCAUUAGGAGGUUUACCAUUCUUUGGAGCAUGGGAUGCUUUGUAUCUGGCCAGAAGAAAACAAAGGGAAGAGAAAAAAAUGCAGAUUAUUUGUGUGGGAAGUUUUUAUCGGCCAGGCCUGCAGGUAGCAAACACAUAAAUCUGUUCUGCACAUAUGACAUUGGUGGGAACUCAGGAACAUGGAUACUGCUACAGUGAUUAGAAGAUGAUAUAAUCUAUCUGUGUGCCCAAGGGGAAGAGAGACAUGACUUAGUAAAAAUUAGGCCAGUCUCUACCACACUUGUUCAAAAGCCAUUCCCCUAUGUUACUUCUUUCAUAUAAACGGAAUCCCAGUUUUGUUCAGAUAGAAGGAAGAUCCUUUGAUUUCAAAGAAGGUAACUUCCUCUAACCAAAUCAGGAGAUAAAUCACAGUGGUCCAAACCAAUCCUGGUAAUUCCAUUUCUCAUCACCAAUGACCAGUCUAAGAGGGGGUAUAGACUCAGUUCUGAUCAAUGAAAUAGGAAAGGAAGUCUAAUGGGAGGCUCCUAGGAAAAUUUUUCUUUUUCUAUAAAAAAGACAGGACCUUCACAGAAGAAACUCUUUUGUUCUUGCCUCUCUUUUUGCUGAGACAAAGGAAUGAAGACACCAGGCUUGGAGCUGCCAUAGCCAUCCUGUGACCAUAAAUGUGACAGCAAAGAAAGAUGAAGACAGUCAACAUACUGAGGACAGCAAAGGAGACGGAUAGAAAGAAUGGGUCCUUGAUGACAGAAGUAAGCUUCUGAAUGAACCUGGGACUGCCCACUGCUUCUGGACUUUUUAAGUAAAUAAAUGUCUGUAUGUUUCAAGAAUACUGUUAGACAAGUUUUCUGUUUUUUGCUGCCAAAAAUCAUUCUUAAGUGACACAGGAGAGAAAUAGAAGAGAUUUUCUAGAAAAAGGAGCUAAUUGGUGGUAUCCAAAUGCUCUGAGAAGUAAAGGAGAAUAAGGAUGGAAGAGUGGCCAGUGGAUUUGCCAUGAGAAGGUCCCUGUUGAUCUUGGGGCUUCACGAUCUAAUUAAGGAAAUAAAUUAGGAACAAUUCUAACAAGUCCAAGACUGGUCCUCAAAGUGGCAUUACAAGUGCUCAGGAAGAUAGCAGUUAACUGUCUGGAGAUUGCUGCAGAAGCAUCUGGAAGUAUCACUAUUGACUGAACAGGGACUUAAAGAAGACGGCGCUAUUUCAGCCAGGCCAUCAAUGAGAUAUCAUUUGUUUUUAGUAACUAUUUACCUUCUUCAUGCAAAAUGUGAACAGAAUAAAUACGCCAUUAUAUUACCAUAUAUAAUGGACACAAGCUCUUCAGUACAAGUACUCCUUGGGAAGGAGUUAUCAGUCUGCACUAGGCCACCAGAGAGCCAUGGGGUUAGAAACUAAAACCAGACAGAGGUGAGUGUGGUAUACAGAGCAGAGAAGUAAAGCACCCACCUGUGUUAGGAUAAUCAGGUGAGUGAGUCCCUCUUGUGUUUGGUAAGAAGUCUUGGUCCCCUCAUGGCUCCCACACUUCUCAUCUUCCCUAGCAUCUCCCCACUAAAGCGGGAAUGGUUGCUGGGCUGAACAGUGGGAUUGCAAAUAGGAACUACUUCUCUAUUCUCAGGUGUAAGUCUUGCUGGUCUUGAUUUUUUUUUGUAUCAAAAUAAGACAUUUUGGGGACUAGGUCCCAGCAGAAAUGAUGGCUUCGGGUGGAAGGGGAGUUUGGAAGAAGCCAUGGCUGUGGGAUUAAAGAGAAAGAGUCAAAUACAACUAGUUAACAUUAUGAAUGCACGAAAUACCACUGAAUUGUACACUUUAAAAUGGUUAAUUGUGUGUUGUGUGAAUUUCACUUCAAAAAAAGGGGAGGGGAGAGAGUCUUGCAGGAUUUAGAGAUAAUAGGCAAGAGACUUGAUCCCUAAUUUUCCUAAUUUUCAAGAGUCAACCCAGAGCCUUCUGGGAGAAGAGCAAUGCCUUAAAUACUCUUACAACUGUGUUUAUUCCUCCUCAGACCCUCCUUCCCCCUAAUCAUUUUGUUUCCUCCCUUAUCUACACAUGACCAUCUCACUCACUCUCACUUUCUCCAUAUACCAGCUCUUUAUUCAGCAAAACCAUGGGAUAGUGCUUUCCUCUCCCUUUCCCUGGGUCAUCGUCAUGUUUCAUCACCGUGCCUCCACCAUUCUGUAGCUUCUCACCUUCGACCAAAUGUUACAGAAGAUUUUAGUACCUGCCCUCCAUAUGUCUUUCCCUAUUCUCAAUUCUAAGCAAAGGCCAAAACCGAAACAAAUGCUCUGGGAAGGGACACAGAGACCCACAAGGGAGAGGGCUGUGAAUCAAGACAGGAACUCGAAAUUUAAUCAUUGACUGUUAUUUGUGCUAAGUCAUUUUACACUUCCUGCAGACUCAGAAAUCAAAAAGGCCCUAAUGAAGUCUCCCUUGCCUAACACAAUUCCUGAUAUGUGGUCAGUACCAAUAACUAUUUGGCUGAGUAAAUUACUGAGUGUUUAUUCAUGGUGCUCUAAGUAUCAGAAUUCAGUUAACUAUAGAGUAGAGUUUUGGAAAUCUCAAUAAUCUUCACCUUUGGCUGUGAAUUUAACUUAAUGUUUUUAUUAUUACUUUUGGAAACUCACUUUUAUACAAUCUGUUAGCUGACAGCAAGGGGUUAGCAAGUGGCUCUCUCCUUUGGAGGUGGGUAGGAGGAGGGGCCCUAUCGAAACCCUAGAGGGUAAAUUCUCGGAGGUGAAAUAGGCUUCUGCCUGACCAGUCUCAGUGCUCCCAGAAUGUCCGGUACAGAAGUAAAACGUGAGCUUUGGAGUCUUGACAUCAUUAGGAAUCCUGAGGCUUCUAGUAACUAGUAACUAGGCAUGCUUAUGAACCUCACCUUCCUCAUACUUCUUAUUUUUAAAAAAAGAUUUUCUUUAUUUAUUUGAGGCGGGGAGUGGCAGAGGGGCAGAGGGAGAGGGACAAGCAGACUCCCUGCUAAGCGCAGAGCUUGAUCCCAAAACCUGAGAUCAUGACCUGAGCCGAAAUCUAGAAAUCUAGAGCAGGACCCUUGACUGAUUAUGCCCCCUAGCACCCCACACUUCCUCAUUCUUAAAAUGGAAGUGAUAAUACCUUCUUCUUACCUCCCUUAUUCCGUCUAUCAGGAAAAGUCUCCAAUGUUACUUCCAAAAAAUAUCCUGAAUCCACUACUAUUCAAUCUCCA